GCAGUCGAGCGGACAGAUGGGAGCUUGCUCCCUGAUGUUAGCGGCGGACGGGUGAGUAACACGUGGGUAACCUGCCUGUAAGACUGGGAUAACUCCGGGAAACCGGGGCUAAUACCGGAUGGUUGUCUGAACCGCAUGGUUCAGACAUAAAAGGUGGCUUCGGCUACCACUUACAGAUGGACCCGCGGCGCAUUAGCUAGUUGGUGAGGUAACGGCUCACCAAGGCGACGAUGCGUAGCCGACCUGAGAGGGUGAUCGGCCACACUGGGACUGAGACACGGCCCAGACUCCUACGGGAGGCAGCAGUAGGGAAUCUUCCGCAAUGGACGAAAGUCUGACGGAGCAACGCCGCGUGAGUGAUGAAGGUUUUCGGAUCGUAAAGCUCUGUUGUUAGGGAAGAACAAGUGCCGUUCAAAUAGGGCGGCACCUUGACGGUACCUAACCAGAAAGCCACGGCUAACUACGUGCCAGCAGCCGCGGUAAUACGUAGGUGGCAAGCGUUGUCCGGAAUUAUUGGGCGUAAAGGGCUCGCAGGCGGUUUCUUAAGUCUGAUGUGAAAGCCCCCGGCUCAACCGGGGAGGGUCAUUGGAAACUGGGGAACUUGAGUGCAGAAGAGGAGAGUGGAAUUCCACGUGUAGCGGUGAAAUGCGUAGAGAUGUGGAGGAACACCAGUGGCGAAGGCGACUCUCUGGUCUGUAACUGACGCUGAGGAGCGAAAGCGUGG
rnacentral:rRNA from 1 species